CCCUGGUUGGCUCAGAUGGUAAAGAAUCUGCCUGCAAUGCAGAAGGCCCGGGUUCUAUUCCUGGAUUGGGAA
rnacentral:tRNA from 1 species